AUUGAACGCUGGCGGCGUGCCUAAUACAUGCAAGUCGAACGCAGUGGGGACGGGUGAGUAACACGUGGGUAACCUCCCAUCAGAGGGGAUAACACUUGGAAACAGGUGCUAAACCGAUACUGAUGGCUGAACCCGCGGUGCAUUAGCUAGUUGGUGAGGUAACGGCUCACCAAGGCACCGAUGCAUAGACGAGCUGAGAGGGGGAGCGGCCACAAGGGGAAGGAGACACGGCCCAGACUCCUACGGGAGGCAGCAGUAGGGAAUCUUCGGCAAUGGACGAAAGUCUGACCGAGCAACGCCGCGUGAGUGAAGAAGGUUUUCGGAUCGUAAAACUCUGUUGUUAGAGAAGCGGUAUCUAACCAGAAAGCCACGGCUAACUACGUGCCAGCAGCCGCGGUAAUUC
rnacentral:rRNA from 1 species